UACGAAGGGGGCUAGCGUUGCUCGGAAUCACUGGGCGUAAAGGGCGCGUAGGCGGCCGAUUAAGUCGGGGGUGAAAGCCUGUGGCUCAACCACAGAAUUGCCUUCGAUACUGGUUGGCCUGAGACCGGAAGAGGACAGCGGAACUGCGAGUGUAGAGGUGAAAUUCGUAGAUAUUCGCAAGAACACCAGUGGCGAAGGCGGCUGUCUGGUCCGGUUCUGACGCUGAGGCGCGAAAGCGUGGGGAUCAAAC
rnacentral:rRNA from 2 species